CCUACGGGAGGCAGCAGUGGGGGAUAUUGCACAAUGGGGGAAACCCUGAUGCAGCGACGCCGCGUGUGGGAAGACGGUCCUCUGGAUUGUAAACCACUGUCCCCAGGGACGAAGAUGACGGUACCUGGGGAGGAAGCUCCGGCUAACUACGUGCCAGCAGCCGCGGUAAUACGUAGGGAGCGAGCGUUGUCCGGAAUUACGGGGUGAAAGGGGAGCGUAGGCGGGGAUGCAAGUUGGGUGUCAAAACUACCGGCUAAACUGGUAGUCGCACUCAAAACUGCAGCUCUUGAGUGAAGUAGAGGCAGGCGGAAUUCCUGGUGUAGCAGUGAAAUGCGUAGAUAUUAGGAGGAACACCAGUGGCGAAGGCGACCAGCUGGGCUUUUACUGACGCUGAGGCUCGAAAGUGUGGGGAGCAAACAGGAUUAGAUACCCCAGUAGUC
rnacentral:rRNA from 1 species